rnacentral:rRNA from 1 species
UACGAGGGGGGCAAGCGUUGUUCGGAUUUAUUGGGCGUAAAGGGUGCGUAGGAGGGCAGGUAAGUCAGUGGUGAAAUCUUUGGGCUUAACCCGAAAACUGCCAUUGAUACUAUCUGUCUUGAAUGCGGUGGAGGUGAGCGGAAUAUGUCAUGUAGCGGUGAAAUGCUUAGAUAUGACAUAGAACACCGAUUGCGAAGGCAGCUCGCUACACCUGCAUUGACUCUGAGGCACGAAAGCGUGGGGAUCAAACAGG